rnacentral:rRNA from 1 species
UAAGGAAUAUUGGUCAAUGGACGCAAGUCUGAACCAGCCAUGCCGCGUGGAGGAUGAGGGUCCUCUGGAUUGUAAACUUCUUUUAUCUGGGACGAAACACUUCUUUUCUAAGAGGCCUGACGGUACCAGAUGAAUAAGCACCGGCUAACUCCGUGCCAGCAGCCGCGGUAAUACGGAGGGUGCAAGCGUUAUCCGGAUUCACUGGGUUUAAAGGGUGCGUAGGUGGGUAUGUAAGUCAGUGGUGAAAUCCCCGAGCUUAACUUGGGAACUGCCAUUGAUACUAUAUAUCUUGAAUACCGUAGAGGUAAGCGGAAUAUGUCAUGUAGCGGUGAAAUGCUUAGAUAUGACAUGGAACACCAAUUGCGAAGGCAGCUUACUAUGCGGUGAUUGACACUGAGGCACGAAAGCGUGGGUAGCAAACA